GUCAAAGGCCGGUUACAGCCUAUCAGAUCCAGAGGAGGGGUAUUUAGGCCCAGUUCUCAUCCUGCUCAGUGCCCUGUCGUGGUUUCGCUUGUGGUUGCCCGAGAGCACGUUAUUGAUUCUGGUUAUUUUGGUUAUUUGACUUUGGCAUUGUUUUUGACUUCCCUGUUUUCUGGCAUCCCUGACUCCUGGCUUUUCCUUAUCGUUGUGUCUCUUUCUGUUUCCCUUGACCUCGGCUAUUCCUGACUAUUCUUUGGUACGUUAGUCCGGCCAUUCUAAGGUCCGGUAUACGUUACCUAUCAGUCCUCUGUGUUACACAAUUCUACGUGCUGGAUCAUUCUGUAAUCCUGACACAGAGGAGACAAAAGAAAAAGCCACACAAAUCCUGCCACAACAACAGGUAAG